rnacentral:rRNA from 1 species
AACGAACGCUGGCGGCAGGCCUAACACAUGCAAGUCGAACGCCCUAGCAGUAGGGAGUGGCAGACGGGUGAGUAACACGUGGGAACCUUCCCUAUAGUAUGGAAUAGCCCAGGGAAACUUGGAGUAAUACCGUAUACGCCCGAGAGGGGAAAGAUUUAUCGCUAUAGGAUGGGCCCGCGUAGGAUUAGCUAGUUGGUGAGGUAAUGGCUCACCAAGGCGACGAUCCUUAGCUGGUCUGAGAGGACGACCAGCCACACUGGGACUGAGACACGGCCCAGACUCCUACGGGAGGCAGCAGUGGGGAAUAUUGGACAAUGGGCGCAAGCCUGAUCCAGCCAUGCCGCGUGAGUGAUGAAGGCCUUAGGGUUGUAAAGCUCUUUUGCCGGGGACGAUAAUGACGGUACCCGGAGAAUAAGUCCCGGCUAACUUCGUG